rnacentral:rRNA from 1 species
AUGUCAAGGUAUAACUUCAGUCUGCAGCGCGGGUGCCUCGACGAGCAGCUGGCUUCUUUCAAGAGAGUGCUCGCACGGAUUGCUCCGGGAGAUGCUGCCACCAAGAGGCUCCUGAGCGAAUCCCUGGUUGUCUUUGGCGAAAUCGGCGGCAACGACUACAACUUCUGGUUCUUCGAUCGUAAGCGCAGCCGGUACACAGCCCAGGAGUACAUACCGGACGUGGUUGCCCGCAUAGGCGCCGGCGUCCAAGAGGUGAUCAAGCUCGGUGCCAAGACUGUCCUUGUCCCAGGGAACUUCCCCAUUGGGUGCGUGCCGGUUUACCUCAGAGAUUACAAGAGCAACACGUCCGGGGACUAUGACCAGUUUGGCUGCCUCAAGUGGUUCAACACAUUCUCCCAGAAGCACAACCAGCUACUGAAACAAGAGAUCAGCAUGCUCAAGUCGCAGAACCCCGGCGUGAAGAUCAUCUACGGAGACUACUAUGGCGCCUUCAUGGAGUUUGUCAAGAAUCCUCUCAGGAAUGGCAUUGACAAGCCUCUGGUGGCAUGUUGUGGUGGCAAUGGCCCCUAUGGCACAGGCCAUGAGUGCAACCAGAAGGCGAAGGUUUGCCGCAACCCAUCUAGGUUCACCAACUGGGACCAAAUCCACAUGACGGAGAAGGCAUACAAUGUCAUCGCUAAUGGGGUGCUCAACGGCCCGUACGCCGACACCCCGUUGCUCCACACUUGCUAG